rnacentral:rRNA from 1 species
GUUAUAGGGUCAAGCGAACAAGUGCAUGUGGUGGAUGCCUUGGCGAUCACAGGCGAUGAAGGACGCGGUAGCCUGCGAAAAGCUACGGGGAGCUGGCAAACAAGCUUUGAUCCGUAGAUGUCCGAAUGGGGAAACCCACUCCUUUUGGAGUAUCCAUGGCUGAAUACAUAGGCCAUGCGAAGCGAACGCGGUGAACUGAAACAUCUAAGUAACCGCAGGAAAAGAAAUCAACCGAGAUUCCCAAAGUAGUGGCGAGCGAAAUGGGAUGAGCCUUGCACUCUUUAUUUGUAUUGUUAGCCGAACGCUCUGGAAAGUGCGGCCAUAGCAGGUGAUAGCCCUGUAAGCGAAAACAGUAUGAAAGAACUAGGUGUGCGACAAGUAGGGCGGGACACGUGAAAUCCUGUCUGAAGAUGGGGGGACCAUCCUCCAAGGCUAAAUACUCGUGAUCGACCGAUAGUGAACCAGUACCGUGAGGGAAAGGCGAAAAGAACCCCGGGAGGGGAGUGAAAUAGAUCCUGAAACCGCAUGCAUACAAACAGUCGGAGCCUCGUAAGGGGUGACGGCGUACCUUUUGUAUAAUGGGUCAGCGACUUACGUUCAGUAGCAAGCUUAACCGUAUAGGGCAGGCGUAGCGAAAGCGAGUCCGAAUAGGGCGUUCAGUUGCUGGGCGUAGACCCGAAACCAGGUGAUCUAUCCAUGGCCAGGAUGAAGGUGCGGUAACACGUACUGGAGGUCCGAACCCACUAACGUUGAAAAGUUAGGGGAUGAGCUGUGGAUAGGGGUGAAAGGCUAAACAAACCUGGAAAUAGCUGGUUCUCUCCGAAAACUAUUUAGGUAGUGCCUCGUGUCUCACCUUCGGGGGUAGAGCACUGUCAUGGU